rnacentral:rRNA from 1 species
UACGUAGGGGGCAAGCGUUGUCCGGAAUUAUUGGGCGUAAAGAGCGUGUAGGCGGUCCGGUAAGUCAGCUGUGAAAGUCAAGGGCUCAACCCUUGAAAGCCGGUUGAUACUGUCGGGCUAGAGUCCGGAAGAGGCGAGUGGAAUUCCCGGUGUAGCGGUGAAAUGCGCAGAUAUCGGGAGGAACACCAAUGGCGAAGGCAGCUCGCUGGGACGGUACUGGACGCUGAGGCGCGAAAGCGUGGGGAGCAAACGGGG